UUGAGUAUGUUGGCAGACGUAUUGUAUUAUUAGAUUACAAAACUAUCAUUCACUCAUUUUCAAAUAAACAUUCACUCUUCCUCCCCUCUGUUGAGCUCGCGACCAAACCCCAAACCCCUUUUGGUCAUUUACUAAAAUACAUAAAAGGCAAGUUUUAUACUCCCCUUCUCAAUCAAACCCUCAUUUUGCUUCAACAUUCAGCCGACACCCCCUUAAUUCUCUCUCUCUUACUUGGGUCCGGCCACCGGAGCUCUGGCCGGAGCGCGGCGGAGGACGGUGGUGGUUCACGGCGGCGCCACCGCUAUGGCGGCGAUGAGGUGGUUUUCGGCGGUGGUUCACUGGUGUACCCCCACUAAAUCAUACCCUCUAAACUCGUUUCUGGGCACUAUUUUACCAUACGAGCAACAGAGAUGGCAGUUACGAACACCGACAGCCGCGAUUUUUAAUGUUCUUCUCCGGUAAGUCUCUCUAACUCUCAUCCAUCUUCCUUCUUCUCCUAGAUCUGGAAAGAUCAGUGAUUUUCCGGCCGAUUGAGGGUUGUUUCAGGUGAAGACAGAUGAUAAUGAAGAUCAUUAAUGAUGAUGGUGAGGUCGAAGGUCGCCGACGGCGGCGCUCGGUUGCCGGAAUUAAUGGCAACAGCAACCGCCAGAGCCGUGACAGCUCCGUUUCAAAUCGGUUCAAGCUUCAUUUCGAGUAUUAGAUUCACAGUGGUUCGAGUUUCGGGUCUCGGUUUUAAGCGGGUCAGUUUGGUUCAACGUUUUGGGUCUUGUUCGGUUCUAUGUCGGAUCAGAUUGGGUUUCGGUUCAAGAUGUGAACUUGGUUCAGUUAUGGCAUGGUUCAACAGGUUCGAGUCUUUGUUCAGUCUCGGGUCACAUUUCAGUUUUGGUUCGGGGCUCGUUUCGGGACACGGUCAACUGGUCAACGGUUCGGUCAAAGAUGGUCAGAACCAGUCAACGCGAGUCAAAGACUCGGUCAAACCCGAGUCAACUCGGGUCAGCAGCAGUCAACACAGCAAAAACUGGUCAACCCGGUUCACAUUUUCGAUUCGGUGUUCGGAUCCAUUGCGGUAAACAAAAGUCAACGGUCAAACUUGGUCAACGACAGUCAAAACAGUCAACUCAAAGGCCCGGAAUGCUCUAGUUGCACGCUAGCGAGUUCACAUUCUUGGAAUGACACUACGGAAUCACGCUAGGCUAGCUUUGCACAGGAAUGUCAAGAUGAAGAUGAUGAAGACGGAUGAAGAUGAUGAAGAUGGAUGAAGAUGAUGAUGGUCGGUGUAAAACAGAAAAAGUAAGGUUCACAAGAUUUGAAGAUGGAUGAAGAAGAUGAAGAUGAAGAUGGAUGAAGAUGAUGCGGUGUUGAGAGUUGAGAGAGAGAUUUGGAGAUUUUUUGAGAAGUGUGAUGAUGAUGAUGAUCGAUAGAUGGAUUUGAGGUAUUUAAUCAGGAUUUUAAUUAAAGAGUUAUUUAACUAAUCAAUAUUUUAAUAUUUGAUUUAUAAUCACUCUUUUUUUUGGAAAUAAAUUUUUUGUUAUUUAUUAAGAAAUUUUAUAAAUGGAUCUCUUUU